rnacentral:tRNA from 1 species
UCCUUAGUGGUCCAGUGGUUAAAAUUCUGCAUUCCCAAUGCAGGAAGCCUGGUUCAAUCCCUGGUCAGGGAA